UCGUGCUAGACGGGGAGCUAGCGGUGCCCUGUAACCCGAAAUCCGCUUAUGCGGGGUCGAAUGUCCUUGCUGAGAGUCUUUCACCUGAGGCCUCCGUUGGUCGUUCUUGGCAAGGGAGUGGACCUUGCGUGACAGACACUUGCAAACCCCGUCAGGUCCGGAAGGAAGCAGCGGUACGCAAGAGAGUCUGUGUCGCAACGACCUCUACUCCUUACACCGGGACGAUGACGGGACCUUUGGUGGGACGCGAUCAAGGAUGCACGA
rnacentral:SRP_RNA from 1 species